rnacentral:rRNA from 1 species
GGCGAGGGGAGUGAAAAAGAACCUGAAACCGUGUACGUACAAGCAGUGGGAGCACAGGUUUACCUGUGUGACUGCGUACCUUUUGUAUAAUGGGUCAGCGACUUAUAUUCUGUAGCAAGGUUAACCGAAUAGGGGAGCCGGAGGGAAACCGAGUCUUAAUUGGGCGUUAAGUUGCAGGGUAUAGACCCGAAACCCGGUGAUCUAGCCAUGGGCAGGUUGAAGGUUGGGUAACACUAACUGGAGGACCGAACCGACUAAUGUUGAAAAAUUAGCGGAUGACCUGUGGCUGGGGGUGAAAGGCCAAUCAAACCGGGAGAUAGCUGGUUCUCCCCGAAAGCUAUUUAGGUAGCGCCUCGUGAAUUCAUCUCCGGGGGUAGAGCACUGUUUCGGCUAGGGGGCCAUCCCGGCUUACCAACCCGAUGCAAACUGCGAAUACCGGAGAAUGUUAUCACGGGAGACACACGGCGGGUGCUAACGUCCGUCGUGAAGAGGGAAACAACCCAGACCGCCAGCUAAGGUCCCAAAGUCAUGGUUAAGUGGGAAACGAUGUGGGAAGGCCCAGACAGCCAGGAUGUUGGCUUAGAAGCAGCCAUCAUUUAAAGAAAGCGUAAUAGCUCACUGGUCGAGUCGGCCUGCGCGGAAGAUGUAACGGGGCUAAACCAUGCACCGAAGCUGCGGCAGCGA